UACGAAGGGGGCUAGCGUUGUUCGGAGUUACUGGGCGUAAAGGGCGCGUAGGCGGCGCAUCAAGUCAGGCGUGAAAGCCCUGGGCUCAACCCGGGAAUUGCGCUUGAGACUGGUGUGCUUGAGUACGGGAGAGGAUAGUGGAAUUCCCAGUGUAGAGGUGAAAUUCGUAGAUAUUGGGAAGAACACCGGUGGCGAAGGCGGCGACCUGGUCCGAGACUGACGCUGAGGCGCGAAAGCGUGGGGAGCAAACAGG
rnacentral:rRNA from 1 species